rnacentral:rRNA from 1 species
AUACGAAGGGUGCAAGCGUUACUCGGAAUUACUGGGCGUAAAGCGUGCGUAGGUGGUUGUUUAAGUCUGUCGUGAAAGCCCUGGGCUCAACCUGGGAAUGGCGAUGGAAACUGGGCGACUAGAGUGUGGCGGAGGGUAGUGGAAUUCCUGGUGUAGCAGUGAAAUGCGUAGAGAUCAGGAGGAACAUCCGUGGCGAAGGCGACUGCCUGGGCCAACACUGACACUGAGGCACGAAAGCGUGGGGAGCAAACAGGAUUAGAUACCCUGGUAGUCCACGCCCUAAACGAUGCGAACUGGAUGUUGGGUGCAAUUUGGCACGCAGUAUCGAAGCUAACGCGUUAAGUUCGCCGCCUGGGGAGUACGGUCGCAAGACUGAAACUCAAAUGAAUUGACGGGG